GAGUCUCCUUCGGGAGCUGAGACAGGUGGUGCAUGGCUGUCGUCAGCUCGUGUCGUGAGAUGUUGGGUUAAGUCCCGCAACGAGCGCAACCCUUGUCAUUAGUUGCCAUCAUUAAGUUGGGCACUCUAAUGAGACUGCCGGUGACAAACCGGAGGAAGGUGGGGAUGACGUCAAGUCAUCAUGCCCCUUAUGACCUGGGCUACACACGUGCUACAAUGGACGGUACAACGAGAAGCGAACCUGCGAAGGCGAACGGAUAGGAAAAAAAACACUAAUUAUUUUUUUU
rnacentral:rRNA from 1 species